rnacentral:rRNA from 1 species
UACAGAGGUCUCAAGCGUUGUUCGGAUUCAUUGGGCGUAAAGGGUGCGUAGGCGGCGCGGUGAGUCGGGUGUGAAAUCUCGGAGCUUAACUCCGAAACUGCAUUCGAUACUGCCGUGCUUGAGGACUGGAGAGGAGACUGGAAUUUACGGUGUAGCGGUGAAAUGCGUAGAUAUCGUAAGGAAGACCAGUGGCGAAGGCGGGUCUCUGGACAGUUCCUGACGCUGAGGCACGAAGGCGAGGGGAGCAAACGGG